UACAGAGGUCCCGAGCGUUGUUCGGAUUCAUUGGGCGUAAAGGGUGCGUAGGCGGCGGGGCAAGUCUGAUGUGAAAUCCCGGGGCUCAACCCCGGAACUGCAUUGGAUACUGCCUUGCUAGAGUACUGGAGAGGGAACUGGAAUUACGGUGUAGCAGUGAAAUGCGUAGAGAUCGUAAGGAAGGCCAGUGGCGAAGGCGAGUUCCUGGACAGUUACUGACGCUGAGGCACGAAGGCCAGGGGAGCAAACGGG
rnacentral:rRNA from 1 species